rnacentral:rRNA from 1 species
UGGGGAAUUUUGGACAAUGGGGGCAACCCUGAUCCAGCAAUGCCGCGUGUGUGAAGAAGGCCUUCGGGUUGUAAAGCACUUUUGUCCGGAAAGAAAUGGCCUGGGUGAAUACCCCGGGUCGAUGACGGUACCGGAAGAAUAAGCACCGGCUAACUACGUGCCAGCAGCCGCGGUAAUACGUAGGGUGCGAGCGUUAAUCGGAAUUACUGGGCGUAAAGCGUGCGCAGGCGGUUUUGUAAGACAGGCGUGAAAUCCCCGAGCUUAACUUGGGAAUGGCGCUUGUGACUGCAAGGCUAGAGUAUGUCAGAGGGGGGUAGAAUUCCACGUGUAGCAGUGAAAUGCGUAGAGAUGUGGAGGAAUACCGAUGGCGAAGGCAGCCCCCUGGGACGUCACUGACGCUCAUGCACGAAAGCGUGGGGAGCAAACAGG